GACGAACGCUGGCGGCGUGCUUAACACAUGCAAGUCGAACGAUGAAGCCGGAGCUUGCUCUGGUGAAUUAGUGGCGAACGGGUGAGUAACACGUGAGUAACCUGCCCUUGACUCUGGGAUAACUGCGGGAAACUGUAGCUAAUACCGGAUACGACCCUCGGAGGCAUCUCCUGGGGGUGGAAAGAAUUUCGGCCAAGGAUGGACUCGCGGCCUAUCAGCUAGUUGGUGAGGUAAAGGCUCACCAAGGCGACGACGGGUAGCUGGUCUGAGAGGAUGAUCAGCCACACUGGGACUGAGACACGGCCCAGACUCCUACGGGAGGCAGCAGUGGGGAAUAUUGGACAAUGGGCGAAAGCCUGAUCCAGCCAUGCCGCGUGAGUGAUGAAGGCCUUCGGGUUGUAAAGCUCUUUCGCACGCGACGAUGAUGACGGUAGCGUGAGAAGAAGCCCCGGCUAACUUCGUGCCAGCCGCCGCGGUAA
rnacentral:rRNA from 1 species